GGUCCCAUGGUGUAAUGGUUAGCACUUUAGACUCUGAAUCCAACAAUCCGAGUUCGAGUCUCGGUGGGACCU
rnacentral:tRNA from 1 species